CCUACGGGGGGCAGCAGUCGAGAAUCAUUCACAAUGGGGGAAACCCUGAUGGUGCGACGCCGCGUGGGGGAAUGAAGGUCUUCGGAUUGUAAACCCCUGUCAUGUGGGAGCAAAUUAAAAAGAUAGUACCACACGAGGAAGAGACGGCUAACUCUGUGCCAGCAGCCGCGGUAAUACAGAGGUCUCAAGCGUUGUUCGGAAUCACUGGGCGUAAAGCGUGCGUAGGCUGUUUCGUAAGUCGUGUGUGAAAGGCGCGGGCUCAACCCGCGGACGGCACAUGAUACUGCGAGACUAGAGUAAUGGAGGGGGAACCGGAAUUCUCGGUGUAGCAGUGAAAUGCGUAGAUAUCGAGAGGAACACUCGUGGCGAAGGCGGGUUCCUGGACAUUAACUGACGCUGAUGCUCGAAAGUGUGGGUAUCAAACAGGAUUAGAUACCCUUGUAGUC
rnacentral:rRNA from 1 species